rnacentral:lncRNA from 1 species
CAGACAUCUUCUGAGAGGCAAUAGGGCAUCGUGGGCAAGAGCAAGAGUUGGUGACCUUUUCUUCAUGAGGAAGAUAGUACACAUUUUUGGCUUUAUGCAGUUCUAUGAUUGGAAGAUGAGAUGGCAGACUCAGUGGUCUAGCUGUUUGGAUGGUCUUGGACUCAGAUAAAACUAUUGAAAUCCUACUGAUGAAAUAUUGUGACUUCAUCUUCCUUGCA